AUUGAACGCUGGCGGCAGGCCUAACACAUGCAAGUCGAGCGGAUGAAGGGAGCUUGCUCCUGGAUUCAGCGGCGGACGGGUGAGUAAUGCCUAGGAAUCUGCCUGGUAGUGGGGGAUAACGUCCGGAAACGGGCGCUAAUACCGCAUACGUCAUGAGGGAGAAAGUGGGGGAUCUUCGGACCUCACGCUAUCAGAUGAGCCUAGGUCGGAUUAGCUAGCUGGUGGGGUAAAGGCCUACCAAGGCGACGAUCCGUAACUGGUCUGAGAGGAUGAUCAGUCACACUGGAACUGAGACACGGUCCAGACUCCUACGGGAGGCAGCAGUGGGGAAUAUUGGACAAUGGGCGAAAGCCUGAUCCAGCCAUGCCGCGUGUGUGAAGAAGGUCUUCGGAUUGUAAAGCACUGUAAGUUGGGAGGAAGGGAAGUAAGUUAAUACCUGGAUGUUUUGACGUUACCAACAGAAUAAGCACCGGCUAACUUCGUG
rnacentral:rRNA from 1 species